GACGAACGCUGGCGGCGUGCUUAACACAUGCAAGUCGAACGAAGUGGCGAACGGGUGAGUAAUACGUGAGUAACCUGCCCUCCUUUUUGGGAUAAGCCUUGGAAACGGGGUCUAAUACCGAAUAAAGGGGGUUGGGCUCGCGGCCUAUCAGCUUGUUGGUGGGGUGAUGGCCUACCAAGGCGGUGACGGGUAGCCGGCCUGAGAGGGUGACCGGCCACAUUGGGACUGAGAUACGGCCCAGACUCCUACGGGAGGGGGCAGUGGUGGAUAGUGAACAAUGGUCGAAAGACUGAUGCAGCGGCGCCGCGUGGGGGUUGAAGGCUUUAGGGUUGUAAACCUCGUGCGCUAUCGAGCGGGUAGGUGGAGAAGAAGCGACGGCUAACUACGUGCCAGCAGCCGCGGUAAUAC
rnacentral:rRNA from 1 species